rnacentral:lncRNA from 1 species
AUGGCCUGGGGCGCGUCACCUGACAGACGACAUCACAACACAACUGCUGCAGCUCACUUACAGAUGUCUGAACGUCUCUCUCUGUGGAAAUCUGGAAGUUUGCUCUACAGUGUGGGCCACUUAUUUUUGCAGCCUGAGAAUGAGUUUUCUGUCACGGCAACCCAGGCAGACAUUGAGGCACAGCAGGUGAUACCAGACACACCCAGGCUCAUUAUGCUUGAGCCUGAGCUGGUGCAGGCGUGCGCAGUGGGUCCCAACACAUCGCUCAGGCAGUCUGCAGUUCUGUUAGAUCCGGUGGAUAAGGAUGGAAAGAAAAUGAGAAUGUGAGCGAGAAUCCUUCUAAGGACACCCUAAGUUCAUGCCAGGCCUUCGCCCUUUACUUUCCAUUCAUCAAGAUCCUCUGACUUAGAAUAGGUCCUUCUCAUCACCUAACUUCAGCCAACCCACUGGAGCUCCAAAAUGCAUCAGGACUCUUUUUCAAACAGACGAGACGUGCAAAUAUCAAACUUAGUCUCAUGAAGUGAUACAUUAAGUAUCAUUUGCACCUUUAACAGAGGUGUGUUUGAUCUGAGAAAAUGAUGUUUCCUUCAGGCUGUAGAUCUGCUGAAUAUCAAAUUUUACCAUAGCUUCAUGUUUUGUUUUUCUCUUCACUUCACUGCUUAAGCUUUAACCCUUUUUCCUUUGCCCACUGUGUGUGUGUAUGCUAGACUAGUUUAUGUGUUUAUGUAGUUAAUAAAGUCUUACUUGUAUCACACUUGAGGUUGUUCAUUGUUUGCUCAUAACUGGAGUCCCUAAUCAUGCAGAUUUUUGCUACAAGCUCUGAGUAAUACAGUAAGAAAGUUAUUUUAACCAGGAAAUUAACAUUCUUAGAAUUGACAGACAGUUGACACUG